GACGAACGCUGGCGGCGUGCUUAACACAUGCAAGUCGAACGGUGAAGCGCCUUCCUUUUUGGUGGGUGUGGAUGAGUGGCGAACGGGUGAGUAACACGUGAGUAACCUGCCCCCUUCUUCUGGAUAACCGCAUGAAAGUGUGGCUAAUACGGGAUAUUCUGGGUCUGUCGCAUGAUGGGUCUGGGAAAGAUAUUGUUUCGGUGGGGGAUGGGCUCGCGGCCUAUCAGCUUGUUGGUGGGGUGAUGGCCUACCAAGGCGGUGACGGGUAGCCGGCCUGAGAGGGUGGACGGCCACACUGGGGAUGAGACACGGACCAGACUCCUACGGGAGGCAGCAGUGGGGAAUAUUGCACAAUGGGCGCAAGCCUGAUGCAGCGACGCCGCGGGGGGGAUGGAGGCCUUCGGGUUGUGAACCUCUUUCGCCAGUGAAGCAGGCCUGCCUCGUUUGUGGGUGGGUUGACGGUAGCUGGAUAAGAAGCGCCGGCUAACUACGUG
rnacentral:rRNA from 1 species